rnacentral:rRNA from 1 species
UACGGAGGGUGCAAGCGUUAUCCGGAAUCACUGGGUUUAAAGGGUGCGUAGGCGGUUUUUUAAGUCAGUUGUGAAAUUCCCUCGCUUAACGAGUGGGACUGCGAUUGAUACUGAAGAACUUGAAUCAGGUUGAGGUAGGCGGAAUGUGACAUGUAGCGGUGAAAUGCAUAGAUAUGUCAUAGAACACCGAUUGCGAAGGCAGCUUGCUGGACCUGUAUUGACGCUGAGGCACGAAAGCGUGGGGAGCAAACAGG